AAUUUAUUAAGUAACAUGAUGAGAGCCAUGUUAAUAGAUUUUAGUUGAUUGUAAAAUAUAAUUUGAUUAUUACUUUGAGAAGAAGUUGUUUAAAAAGAUUACUAUAGAAUUUGUAUAACUUUAAUUUCCUUUUGAUAGUGGCUUUUAAGAUUGGUUUUGGUUGAUAGCAACUUCUAAAUAUUUAGAGUCACCUUUGUUAGACAUUGGUCACCUUUGAAAACUUAUUUUGGUUCUUUUAUUUGGUGUUUAGAGCAUAAAUUAUGUAAAUCUUAUAAGAAAAAAGAUUGAAGAAGAAUUUUGAUAGCAAAAGGAGUAAUUAGGGCACCAAUAUAGAUGAAUGGAAAUGAAUGAUGAAAAUCUCCAUUCCUAUUGGUCAAAAAUCAUGACCAAUGAGCUUUGAGGAGGCUGCCCGAGGCCAUAUUAGAGAUUAGGGUUAGUUUUUUGAAACCAUUUGAGCUUUGAAGGCUAGGGUCAACAAGUUUAGGUUUUUGGCUAUGGUUUUGGUGCAACUUUUGUGUGUUUUGGA
rnacentral:lncRNA from 1 species